rnacentral:rRNA from 1 species
GACGAACGCUGGCGGCGUGCUUAACACAUGCAAGUCGAGCGGAAAGGCCCUUCGGGGUACUCGAGCGGCGAACGGGUGAGUAACACGUGAGUAACCUGCCCCAGACUUUGGGAUAACCCUCGGAAACGGGGGCUAAUACCGGAUACGACACAGCUUCGCAUGGGGUCUGUGUGGAAAGUUUUUCGGUUUGGGAUGGGCUCGCGGCCUAUCAGCUUGUUGGUGGGGUGAUGGCCUACCAAGGCGACGACGGGUAGCCGGCCUGAGAGGGCGACCGGCCACACUGGGACUGAGACACGGCCCAGACUCCUACGGGAGGCAGCAGUGGGGAAUAUUGCACAAUGGGCGGAAGCCUGAUGCAGCGAUGCCGCGUGAGGGAUGACGGCCUUCGGGUUGUAAACCUCUUUCAGCAGGGACGAAGCGUAAGUGACGGUACCUGCAGAAGAAGCGCCGGCCAACUACGUG